CCAGCAUCCGCGGUAAUUCCAGCUCCAAUAGCGUAUAUUAAAGUUGUUGCAGUUAAAAAGCUCGUAGUGGGAUUUUUAGAUAGGGGGGUAUUGGUACUUUGCUUGUCUACCAGUCAUAGACUGUUACUGUGAGAAAAUUAGAGUGUUUAAAGCAGGCUGUUGCAAGAAUACAUUAGCAUGGAAUAACGAAUGUGUCUGGAAUAUUGGUUAAUUCUAGAUUACGAUUAAUAGGGACAGUUGGGGGCAUUAGUAUUUAAUUGUCAGAGGUGAAAUUCUUGGAUUUAUUAAAGACUAACGUAUGCGAAAGCAUUUGCCAAGGAUGUUUUCAUUAAUCAAGAACGAAAGU
rnacentral:rRNA from 1 species